rnacentral:snRNA from 1 species
AUCCAAGUGCACGGGCAUUACGCGUAUCAGUGAGGAUUCGUCCGAGAUCGUGUUUUUGCUAGUUGAAAACUAUCAACUGACUGCUCUUGAUGGUCUCACGAUCGUCAAGGAAUUUUUGGAAACAACCAACAUUU